rnacentral:pre_miRNA from 1 species
UUUGUACUCCCUCCGUCCCAAAGUUCUUGUCUUAAAUUUGUCUAAAUAUGGAUGUAUCUAGUUACAUUUUAGUGUUAGAUACAUCCGUAUCUAAACAAAUGUAAGACAAGAAUUUUUGGACGGAGGGAAUACUAC